UGGAGGGAAGAUGGCCAAUCUCCAUGGCAACCGUAGAGCCUGUGUGCAGUCUUUGAUGUGGAAAAAAGGGAAGCUGAAGGAGGAAGUUUGACAGGAUAACUGGAUGCCUGACAGAGCCAAUCGAGCAGAAAAUAAAUGCAGUCUGGGAGACCUGUGCCUUUCUAGGUCUGCGUGGUAAUUCCCUGCAACUCACCUAGGAUGAACUAGCUUCUGUCAGAGAUCUUCAGAUCAACUUCCAGACGGACCAGACACACAUGGCAAGUAUAACACUUUAAUGACCAGCACCAAAUGGAUUAAGUAUACAUUAACAUUUCAUCAAUUACACAUUCCCCUUUAAGUCAUUAAUCCAUGCUAACCCCCUGUCAAUUAGGCCUAUACACAGUACCUGCAUGCAAUACAACAAAUCCUUUUUCUUGUCAAGACACCCUUAGGUGUUAGAGUGACCCGGGUACUCUUAAUAUGAUAGUGCACUAUAAGGGCCCAUAAACUUCCUAAAAAUAACAGCAGUUGAUACAGAAUGUCUGACACUAUGUUUUAGUAUCAACUAUCAGUUCUCCCUUCAGUUAAAGAGAAAGAUGUUUAGCUCAGUCUACUUAUGGUAGCGAUUACUUUCUCCUAUAAGGUUACUUAUAGUUCCUCAUUGGUAGAUAACAGAAAGUAUCUAUUUAGCUCAUAGAUAGUAACAUCAACAGUUGAUUACCAAGGAAUCUGUAUCCUUUCCUCAGUAAAAAUGUUACCGUAGUUGUCCAGUAUUAAACUAAACUCCUAAGAAGCUGGUAUGAUAAACCUUUGUUAUGCUGCGUCCUUGUGUCCAUUUGAAGUAGCUGAUGCUUUCUAAGGCCCUCAUUCCGAGUUGGUCGGUCGCAAGGCGAAUUUAGCAGAGUUGCUCACGCUAAGCCGCCGCCUACUGGGAGUGAAUCUUAGCUUCUUAAAAUUGCGACCGAUGUAUUCGCAAUAUUGCUAUUACAAACUACUUCGCAGUUUCAGAGU